AGCGAACGCUGGCGGCAGGCCUAACACAUGCAAGUCGAACGGAGUGGCGGACGGGUGAGUAACACGUGGGAACGUGCCCUUUGGUUCGGAACAACUCAGGGAAACUUGAGCUAAUACCGGAUGCCAUUGGAGCGGCCCGCGUCUGAUUAGCUAGUUGGUGAGGUAAAGGCUCCCGAAGGCGACGAUCAGUAGCUGGUCUGAGAGGAUGAUCGGCCACAUUGGGACUGAGACACGGCCCAAACUCCUACGGGAGGCAGCAGUGGGGAAUCUUGCGAAAUGGGCGAAAGCCUGACGCAGCCAGGCCGGGUGAAUUAUGAAGGUCUUAGGGUUGUAAAGUUCUUUCACCGGGGAAGCGGUACCCGGAGAAGAAGCACCGGCUAACUACGUGCCAGCAGCCGCGGUAAUUC
rnacentral:rRNA from 1 species